UACGUAGGGUGCAAGCGUUGUCCGGAAUUAUUGGGCGUAAAGAGCUCGUAGGCGGUCUGUCGCGUCGGCUGUGAAAACUCGGGGCUCAACCCCGAGCCUGCAGUCGAUACGGGCAGACUAGAGUGCUGUAGGGGAGACUGGAAUUCCUGGUGUAGCGGUGAAAUGCGCAGAUAUCAGGAGGAACACCGGUGGCGAAGGCGGUUGCCUGGAGCUUGCUGACGCUGAGGCGCGAAAGCGUGGGGAGCGAUCCGG
rnacentral:rRNA from 1 species